GAGAGCUUCUCGUAUGGUAUGUAAACGCGAAGGCGUGCAUCUCUCUCUCUCUCUCUGCUCACAUCCGCUCCGCGCAGCACAGGAAGGGGCAGCGCAAGAAGCAGGGGCUCUUAAACACACACGCACCAAGUAGCGCAACCCGAUACAGCUCAAACCAGAGACACCCACACGUGGCUGUCUGCUCGCCACGUGGCACACUGCCCUUUCUCUUUAUCCGUCCAGGGUCUCAACUUCAUGUCGCUGUGUCGUGUACUCCAGCAGUCUCUUGUAAGCGCUUCUCUCCCCUCUGCACUCGCCGAUCCGUUGGCACGUGCGCUCGUACUGCCUUCGUUAUCGCGUGGGUAAUGGGUUGUACGUGUGUGCGUGUGGGACUUCCCCCGACGCCCGCCUCUCUCGCCUCACCCGGCCUGUCUCUGACCCUCUCUCCCUCUGUCGGACCGCCUUGAAGAGGGGAAUCGCUACGAGGUAUAGGCGAGAGGAGUAUACACCCCGCCAGGAACUGUACAUGUGUGUGUGUGUGUGUGUGUGUGUGUGUGCCAUCGUUCACUCAAAGCCACUUCGCUCCCCUCUCCCCGCCUUUUUCUUUGUGCCGCUGUGGCUCCGCCGCACCGUCUGCGCGGCCUCCCUCUCCCCACGCACGAGCGCACCGCUUCUGCCGUGUUCUCUUGACUCGCGUGGCGCUUUGCUCACAUCCGCCGCCACGUUGCCCUGCCCCGCUGUCCCACAG
rnacentral:misc_RNA from 1 species